rnacentral:rRNA from 1 species
UAUNGCACAAUGGGGGAAACCCUGAUGCAGCNACGCCGCGUGAGUGAAGAAGUAUUUCGGUAUGUAACGCUCUAUCAGCGGGGAAGAUAAUGCCGGUACCUGACUCAGAAGCCCCGGCUAACUACGUGCCAGCAGCCGCGGUAAUACGUAGGGGGCAAGCGUUAUCCGGAUUUACUGGGUGUAAAGGGAGCGUAGGUGGCAGGGCAAGUCAGAUGUGAAAACCCGGGGCUCAACCCCGGGAGUGCAUUUGAAACUGUCCGGCUGGAGUGCAGGAGAGGCAAGCGGAAUUCCUAGUGUAGCGGUGAAAUGCAUAGAUAUUAGGAGGAACACCAGUGGCGAAGGCGGCUUACUGGACUGUAACUGACACUGAGGCUCGAAAGCGUGGGGAGCAAACAGG